UACGUAGGGUGCGAGCGUUAAUCGGAAUUACUGGGCGUAAAGCGUGCGCAGGCGGUAAGUUAAGUCUGAUGUGAAAGCCCCGGGCUCAACCUGGGAAUGGCAUUGGAAACUGGCUUGCUGGAGUGUGGCAGAGGGGGGUGGAAUUCCGCGUGUAGCAGUGAAAUGCGUAGAGAUGCGGAGGAACACCGAUGGCGAAGGCAGCCCCCUGGGCCAACACUGACGCUCAGGCACGAAAGCGUGGGGAGCAAAAGGG
rnacentral:rRNA from 1 species